rnacentral:rRNA from 1 species
GACGAACGCUGGCGGCGUGCCUAAUACAUGCAAGUCGAGCGGAACUGGGGGAGCAUGCUCCUUCCAGUUUAGCGGCGGACGGGUGAGUAACACGUGGGCAACCUGCCCUGCAGAUCGGGAUAACUCCGGGAAACCGGUGCUAAUACCGAAUAGUUUGGCGCUUCUCCUGAGGCGCUACGGAAAGACGGUUUCGGCUGUAACUGCAGGAUGGGCCCGCGGCGCAUUAACUAGUUGGUGGGGUAACGGCCCACCAAGGCGACGAUGCGUAGCCGACCUGAGAGGGUGACCGGCCACACUGGGACUGAGACACGGCCCAGACUCCUACGGGAGGCAGCAGUAGGGAAUCUUCCGCAAUGGACGCAAGUCUGACGGAGCAACGCCGCGUGAGUGACGAAGGUUUUCGGAUCGUAAAACUCUGUUGUGAGGGAAGAACACGUACCAACUAACUAUUGGUACCUUGACGGUACCUCACCAGAAAGCCACGGCUAACUACGUGCCAGCCGCCGCCGUAA